UCUGUUCUAGUUCCUUCUGGAUGGCCUAAAAAGUAUGAGAAAUAGUCUACUGAAACACGAAAGACAAAGCCAGAACUGCACAGUUCUGCAGGUGCCUAGGAGAACUCCGGGACAGCCACGCAGCACCGGACAGGCUGACGAGAACCCCGGGACAGCCACGCAGCACCGGGGAGGCCGAGGAGAACCCCGGGACAGCCACGCAGCACCAGGGAGGCCGACGAGAACCCCGGGACAGCCACGCAGCACUGGGGAGGCCAACGACUCCCAAGCCGCACACGUUAAUGGUUCAUUUCAUGUUAUCUGAAUUUUACCUCAUUUUAAAAAGCGUAAGAAUUCCCACUCAACUAUUAUCAUUAGCAGUGGUUCCCCCAGGAGAUGGAUUGGUGGGGGAAAGGACUUAUUUUAUCUGUACUACUGAAAGACUUUACAGUGAGAAUUACCAUUAGUACAUACAUAAAAAACAAAAACAAACAAAAUGUGGAGGGAAAAUUUAUACUUGAGGAAAGCUAUACUUAUUUUAAGUAAAUAUGAUUAUGCAAACAAUUCAUGCAAUCUGACUAUAAGUAUGUAGAGGGGAAAUUUCUGGAAGUGUUGUUUUUUUUUUCUGGUGUGGCAGCUUGUAGGUGAUUUUUAUUUUCUUCUUUGUGCCUGAUUUUCCAAUGUUCUUUGAUAAACAUGUUUUACUCUAAUACAGGGGGAUACACUAGUGUGGGCCGCACAAGUCCUGGCCUUCAUCUGAGAGGGCAAGGCAGGCGUGAAGCCCAGAAACCCCGCGGGAAGGAUGGGGCUUGUUUUCUCCCCCAAAACACCCAAGACCGACAUCCGCGAGGAGGCGCCACGACACCGACGUCCGAGGGGAGGCGCCAUGAGUUUCGGGAAGCUACAAUCCACACCACACCAACGCCUUUUCCAUCUAAAGAUACACUCAACCGCAAGGCUAAGCUUGGGCCCUGACCGCCAGCAUACUGUCAGUCACAGAGAGACACACAUUUACUACAACAUGUGUAGGGAGACCUUCGGAAAACAGCAUGUUUCGGUAGCUUCUCUCAAUUAUCUGUGAAUCUCCUUAUUCUGCCAUAGUAGAGUGUAUGGAAUGUGCUUUUAUUCUAAGAAAAAUGUUAUGUUCGACCUAUCAAUGGCACGCUUCAAAACAUGGCCUCAAUAAACACUGAAUACACGGAAUCCUUCUGCGUGUCGAUUAAGCUACGCCACGGCUCAUGUGCAGCACCCGCGGGGCCCUGGGGUGCCAAGUGCUCAUGGAGGCAGGUGGCUAAGGGGGAGCACCUGGGUCAGACGCCUGGGUUCAGCUCCAGGCUCCCCCACCUACCUGCGAGCCUCCUGAGCUGGCUAAGCCCCAGUUUG